rnacentral:rRNA from 1 species
AGAGUUUGAUCAUGGCUCAGAACGAACGCUAGCGGCGUGGAUAAGACAUGCAAGUCGAACGGACCGGGCAACCGGUCAGUGGCGGACGGGUGCGUAACACGUGGGCAACAUGCCCGGAAGAGGGGGAUAGCCCGGGGAAACCCGGAUUAAUACCGCAUGUGGAGACCGCCGGCAUCGGUGGUUUUCAAAGGAGGGGAUCGAAAGACCUUCCGCUUCCGGAUUGGCCCGCGGCCUAUCAGCUUGUUGGCGGGGUAACGGCCCACCAAGGCGACGACGGGUAGCUGGUCUGAGAGGAUGGCCAGCCACAUUGGAACUGAGACACGGUCCAGACACCUACGGGUGGCAGCAGUCGAGAAUCAUUCACAAUGGGCGAAAGCCUGAUGGUGUGACGCCGCGUGGGGGAUGAAGGUCUUCGGAUUGUAAACCCCUGUCAUUUGCGGGCAAAGCCGCCGGGGUAAUAUCCCUGCGGUCUGAUAUUAGCAAAAGAGGAAGGGACGGCUAACUCUGUGCCAGCAGCCGCGGUAAUACAGAGGUCCCAAGCGUUGUUCGGAAUCACUGGGCGUAAAGGGUGCGUAGGCGGCGCGCCAAGUCAGAUGUGAAAGACCGGGGCUCAACCCCGGAACUGCAUUUGAAACUGGCGUGCUAGAGGGUUUGAGGGGGGUCGGGAAUUCACGGUGUAGCAGUGAAAUGCGUAGAUAUCGUGAGGAAGACCGGUGGCGAAGGCGCGACCCUGGAAAACAACUGACGCUGAGGCACGAAGGCCAGGGGAGCGAACGGGAUUAGAUACCCUAGUAGUCC